rnacentral:lncRNA from 1 species
AAGAACAAGAACAAGAAAGUAAGAAAUGAUUAAAAUAGUUUUGAUAUUUUAAAAAUCAUAUUGAAAAUAUGUGUUAAAUAAUUCAAAAUCAAUUUGGAUGAAAUAAUAGUAAAUAUACUUCCAUAUAUUAGAUAUUAAUUAGCAAAAGAGGUUUGAUGAUUAAAGAACUUAAAUUAGAAAAAAAAAGAAUUGAUGAUUAAAGAAGAAAUGUGUACUUCCAACAAUUGAUUGUAAAUUAAACUUCAGCAACAAACCUGUGUGGUCAGUUUGUUAAAGUGUGGAUGCAUCCCCAAUAGAUGCUCUUUUUAAUAAUUAAAUUUGAGAAGGAAAAAAUAAAUCAAACUUCAUUAUUAUGUUGGACAAAAAUAUCCUUUUUUUUAUUAUUAUUCAGGGCCAGUUUAUUAUUUUUAUUUCUAUUAUUUAUUCUUUUUGUGCUCUAUAUGACACCCAUAUAACUUUUCACUUGUUCUAGAACAUAUAUAUAUAUUCACACAUACAUAUAUAUUUAUAUCCUCAACCCACUUUUUAUUUUUUAACUUUUUUUAUUUAUAUAUGGUCUUUAUAAAUUUAUAAUUUUAAAAUUCACUAUCUUCCUCUAAAAGAAAA